GAUGAACGCUGGCGGCGUGCUUAACACAUGCAAGUCGAACGGAAAGGCCCUGCUUUUGUGGGGUUCUCGAGUGGCGAACGGGUGAGUAACACGUGAGUAUCCUGCCCUUGACUUUGGGAUAACUUCAGGAAACUGGGGCUAAUACCUGAUAGGAGCUCCUGCUGCAUGGUGGGGGUUGGAAAGUUUCGGCGGUUGUGGAUCGACUGGCGGCUUAUCAGCUUGUUGGUGGGGUAGUGGCUUACCAAGGCUUAGACGGGUAGGCGGCCUGAGAGGGUGACCGGCGACAAGACGACUGAGAUACGGAGCAGACUGGAACGGGAGGCAGUGGGCGAGAGUAUUGCACAGUGAGGCGGAGUGUGAUACGAAAGUCUUGGGAGCGGAAAGACGGCCUACGGGGUAUGAACCGCUGUCGCCUGAGACGAAGCGGGAGUGACGGUAAUGAGUAAAGAAGCACCGGCUAACUACGUG
rnacentral:rRNA from 1 species